rnacentral:rRNA from 1 species
UGCGUAGGCGGUUGAUUAAGUUGGAUGUGAAAUACCCGGGCUUAACUUGGGGGUGCAUUCAAAACUGGUUAACUAGAGUACAGGAGAGGGAAGCGGAAUUCCUAGUGUAGCGGUGAAAUGCGUAGAUAUUAGGAGGAACACCGGUGGCGAAGGCGGCUUUCUGGACUGACACUGACGCUGAGGCACGAAAGCGUGGGGAGCAAACA